AUACGGAGGGUGCAAGCGUUAAUCGGAAUUACUGGGCGUAAAGCGUGCGCAGGCGGUUUUGUAAGACAGUGGUGAAAUCCCCGGGCUCAACCUGGGAACUGCCAUUGUGACUGCAAGGCUGGAGUGCGGCAGAGGGGGAUGGAAUUCCGCGUGUAGCAGUGAAAUGCGUAGAUAUGCGGAGGAACACCGAUGGCGAAGGCAAUCCCCUGGGCCUGUACUGACGCUCAUGCACGAAAGCGUGGGGAGCAAACAGGAUUAGAUACCCUGGUAGUCCACGCCCUAAACGAUGUCAACUGGUUGUUGGGUCUUCAUUGACUCAGUAACGAAGCUAACGCGUGAAGUUGACCGCCUGGGGAGUACGGCCGCAAGGUUGAAACUCAAAUGAAUUGACGGGG
rnacentral:rRNA from 1 species